AGGGUUUGAUCCUGGCUCAGGACGAACGCUGGCGGCGUGCUUAACACAUGCAAGUCGAACGGGAACUAAAGGAGCUUGCUCUUUUAGAUCUAGUGGCGGACGGGUGAGUAACGCGUAGGUAACCUACCUCAUACAGGGGGACAACACCGGGAAACUGGUGCUAAUACCGCAUAAUAUUUACUUAUGGCAUCAUAAGAAAAUUAAAGGAGAAAUCCGGUAUGAGAUGGACCUGCGUCCAAUUAGCUAGUUGGUAGGGUAAAAGCUUACCAAGGCGACGAUUGGUAGCCGAACUGAGAGGUUGAUCGGCCACAUUGGGACUGAGACACGGCCCAAACUCCUGCGGGAGGCAGCAGUGGGAAUAUUGCGCAAUGGGGGAAACCCUGACGCAGCAACGCCGCGUGAAGGAUGAAGGCUUUCGGGUUGUAAACUUCUUUGAAUAGGGACGAAGAAAGUGACGGUACCUAUAAAACAAGCCACGGCUAACUACGUGCCAGCAGCCGCGGUAAUACGUAGGUGGCAAGCGUUGUCCGGAAUUACUGGGUGUAAAGGGCGUGUAGGCGGGAAAGCAAGUCAGAUGUGAAAGUCCAAGGCUUAACCAUGGAAGUGCAUCUGAAACUGUUUUUCUUGAGUAUCGGAGAGGAAAGUGGAAUUCCUAGUGUAGCGGUGAAAUGCGUAGAGAUUGGGAGGAACACCAGUGGCGAAGGCGGCUUUCUGGACGAUAACUGACGCUGAGGCGCGAAAGCGUGGGGAGCAAACAGGAUUAGAUACCCUGGUAGUCCACGCUGUAAACGAUGGAUACUAGGUGUAGGAGGUAUCGACCCCUUCUGUGCCGGAGUUAACACAAUAAGUAUCCCACCUGGGGAGUACGAUCGCAAGAUUGAAACUCAAAGGAAUUGACGGGGGCCCGCACAAGCAGUGGAGUAUGUGGUUUAAUUCGAAGCAACGCGAAGAACCUUACCAGGGUUUGACAUCCCUCGAAAGGCUAAGAGAUUAGUUUUUCCCUUUUGGGACGAGGAGACAGGUGGUGCAUGGUCUCGUCAGCUCGUGUCGUGAGAUGUUGGGUUAAGUCCCGCAACGAGCGCAACCCUUAUUGUUAGUUGCCAGCAAGUGAAGUUGGGCACUCUAGCGAGACUGCCGGCGAUAAGUCGGAGGAAGGUGGGGACGACGUCAAAUCAUCAUGCCCCUUAUAUCCUGGGCUACACACGUACUACAAUGGUCGUUACAGAGGGCAGCGAAACCGUGAGGUGGAGCAAAUCCCCAAAGGCGACCCCAGUUCGGAUUGUAGGCUGAAACUCGCCUACAUGGAGUCGGAAUUGCUAGUAAUGGCAGGUCAGCAUACUGCCGUGAAUACGUUCCCGGGCCUUGUACACACCGCCCGUCACACCAUGAGAGUUGGUAAUACCCGAAGUCAGUAGUUUAACCGUAAGGAGGACGCUGCCGAAGGUAGGGCCGAUGAUUAGGGUGAAGUCGAACAAGGUA
rnacentral:rRNA from 1 species